GAUGAACGCUGGCUACAGGCUUAACACAUGCAAGUCGAGGGGAAACGACGGGGAAGCUUGCUUCCCCGGGCGUCGACCGGCGCACGGGUGAGUAACGCGUAUCCAACCUGCCUCUGACUGAGGGAUAACCCGUCGAAAGUCGGCCUAAUACCUCAUGGCAUCGUCUGCGGGCAUCCAACGACGAUUAAAGAUUUCAUCGGUCAGAGAUGGGGAUGCGUCUGAUUAGCUUGUUGGCGGGGUAACGGCCCACCAAGGCGACGAUCAGUAGGGGUUCUGAGAGGAAGGUCCCCCACAUUGGAACUGAGACACGGUCCAAACUCCUACGGGAGGCAGCAGUGAGGAAUAUUGGUCAAGGGGCGAGAGCCUGAACCAGCCAAGUAGCGUGCAGGAGGACGGCCCUAUGGGUUGUAAACUGCUUUUAGGCGGGGAUAAAGUGAGGGACGUGUCCUUCAUUGCAGGUACCGCAUGAAUAAGGACCGGCUAAUUCCGUG
rnacentral:rRNA from 1 species